GGGGGAGAGAGGAGAAGGCAGAGCCGCCGGACGUGCUGGGGGCAGCUGGGGAUGGACCUUGGACGACAGCUGACAGGCAGCUGCAGAGGGAACCCCACCAGGCAUUCCAGAUGGGCAACCUGAGUGAUGCUGGAGAGUGCAUAAGGGCUACAGAGCUGAAUGUUUAUGUGGCAUCAGGGCACGGAGAGAUCAUCCCUGGGAAGUGGCUGGGAACCGUGAUGAGAGAACCACUCAGGCACCACUUGUUGAAGAUCAUACUUUCUACACUGAAUUUCGUUGGUGCCUUUGCCAGAAAAAAAUCAGUCAUAGGGAGAGGAUAGACGUGAGGAAAAGUGACUCAAGAAAAUCACCACAGAAGUAGGUGUCAUUGCCUCCAAGAGGAAGAUGAGGAAGACAGUUUUACAGCAG
ensembl:lncRNA